UACGUAGGGUGCAAGCGUUGUCCGGAAUUAUUGGGCGUAAAGAGCUCGUAGGCGGUCUGUCGCGUCGGCUGUGAAAACUCGGGGGCUCAACCCCGAGCCUGCAGUCGAUACGGGCAGACUAGAGUGCUGUAGGGGAGACUGGAAUUCCUGGUGUAGCGGUGAAAUGCGCAGAUAUCAGGAGGAACACCGGUGGCGAAGGCGGGGUCUCUGGGCAGUAACUGACGCUGAGGAGCGAAAAGCGUGGGGGAGCGAACAGG
rnacentral:rRNA from 1 species